rnacentral:lncRNA from 1 species
CUUUGAAGCUAUAUUUCAGCUUUUUAUAUGACAGUUUUGUGGACCAAGUGUCAUAGAACAUUUUUUUGAUAGUCCGAUAAAAAUAUGUCAACACCUCUAUUUUCCGUAUCAUUUCAUUGAAAAAUGGUCCCUUUUACAUACCUGCUUAAGAGUAAAAUUUUGAGCUUAAAUGGUCUGUGACGGUGAGUGUGACCCCCUAUUUUUUUUUUCGACCAAUUUGAUUCACUUUCUGUAAAGAAUGGAAUAACAAAAAAUAUGGCACUUCUGAUAGAAACUUCAAAUACGCCCGAGCCACCUUAAGAUUUAGAAAUAGCAUCUGAAGGAAACAAUUUAAAUUCUCUAUAUUUUAAUGUAAAUUAACUAUAAAACUGAAAAGUUUAUGUUAAGAUUUAAAAA